rnacentral:lncRNA from 1 species
UGGUUAGUUGAUAUCUUCUUGAUACUUAUCUAUUACUUUUCAUUAUGCAUAUAAUUCAGAACAGACAGACAAUCACUAUCUUCUCGGGGAAGACACGAGCCCUGAGCUAUUUAUGAAUUUCUCAUAACCUAUCAUUAGCAGCUUUAUGGCCGGAGAUAAGUGGAUUGCCUAAAAUAUUUGAAGCUCCCAAUCAUUAAAUUUAAAGUUUGGUCUCCAGCUGCCACCUAUACCUCAGCUACGCUUCCAGCUUUUAUGACAUGGUUGGUUCAAAGCUAUAACUUUGCUAAAAAGCCAAGUUUUGAGUAGUGAAGUGUGGCAACACAUAACUAUGACAACCAAUCAAAUACUCACCGGAAAUUUCGGCGCGCCCAUCUUUACACGUGAUAAUUUAGCUAGGAAACAAGCAACCUCUUUCUGUGGGCAUUUUUUGAAACAAAAAAGAACCUAGAGCAUCUCUAAUAGACCUAAGGAUAAACCAUUUUUAUGAUGCGGAAUUGUUCCGGACCGAACAGACCUCGCAAAUAAAAUUGUAUCCUAGUAUAGCCCAAUUUUUUUUCUCCCAUCCCGCCGAGUUCGUCUCCGGCCACGGCGUGCCUCGCC